UUUACGAACUCUCAUUUCGUUUACACAUCAAAGAAUUUACUGGGGUGUAACGUGACAAAUGAUUUUACUAAAGAAGGGCAGCUUUUCACUUUCAACUUUCAGUCCUCAGGAACAAAGAAAACAGAGUCGGGAAACAUUUCUACAACCACAAAGGAAGAUUGGUGGUGGUUGUACAUCGUGAUACCCGUGGGUUUAAUAGUACUCUUAGUAAUUGUUGUGGCAGUCAUCCGAUGCAAGAGAACUAAAGGGAACAAAAGGCAGACGGAUGGAAAUGUG